rnacentral:rRNA from 1 species
UACGAAGGGUGCAAGCGUUACUCGGAAUUACUGGGCGUAAAGCGUGCGUAGGUGGUUUGUUAAGUCUGUUGUGAAAGCCCCGGGCUCAACCUGGGAAUGGCAAUGGAUACUGGCAGGCUAGAGUGCGGUAGAGGGUAGUGGAAUUCCCGGUGUAGCGGUGAAAUGCGUAGAGAUCGGGAGGAACACCAGUGGCGAAAGCGGCUCCUGGUCCGACACCGACGUCAGGCACGAAAGCGUGGGGAGCAAACAGG